AAUCUAUAUUUUGCCCCAUUUAAAAAUUUAGAAAUAUUUUCAGAAAUGUACGACGUUUAUGGAGAGAGCAAAAUGACCAAAUUACCCUUUCUUCUUCUAUAAGAAAAAUAAAAUUUUUAAUAUAUUUCGGUCAUUUUGAAGGGCAUUUUUGAUAUAAAUUAUAAAAAAUUAAAGGAAUAGUGAUAGAACUCUGACAGAGUGGGGCUAAAUGUAAUAACUUAAAAUGAUGAGUAGAUAAAAUAUAGUGUUUUAAAAGUUAGGGAGGAAAAGUGAAAAAAUAAGUAUUUAUAAGGUAAUUUUCUGUAAUUUAACCAUUGUAAUUUCAUCUGAAAAUUAUCAAAAUGCCCUUCUAAAUUCCAAUUACAUUUGUAAACCAC
rnacentral:lncRNA from 1 species